rnacentral:rRNA from 1 species
AUUGAACGCUGGCGGCAGGCCUAACACAUGCAAGUCGAACGAGUGGCGGACGGGUGAGUAAUGUCUGGGAAACUGCCUGAUGGAGGGGGAUAACUACUGGAAACGGUAGCUAAUACCGCAUACCAUCAGAUGUGCCCAGAUGGGAUUAGCUAGUGGGUGGGGUAACGGCUCACCAAGGCGACGAUCCCUAGCUGGUCUGAGAGGAUGACCAGCCACACUGGAACUGAGCAAGGUUCCAGACUCCUACGGGAGACAGCAGUGGGAAAUAUGGAACAAUGGGCGCAAGCCUGAUGCAGCCAAGCCGCGUAUAUGAAGAAGGCCUUCGGGUUAUAAAGUACUUUCAGCGGGGAGGCGUUACCCGCAGAAGAAGCACCGGCUAACUCCGUGCCAGCAGCCGCGGUAAUAC